CGCAGCCGCGGUAAUUCCAGCUCCAAUAGCGUAUAUUAAAGUUGUUGCAGUUAAAAAGCUCGUAGUUGAAUUUCGGGAUCAAAGGAUCGGUCAUGCCUUGGUAUGUACUGGUUUUAUUGGUUCUCACCUUCUAAAGAACCAUAAUGUCAUUCAUUUGAUGUUAUGGGGAAUUAGGACUGUUACCUUGAAAAAAUUAGAGUGUUUAAAGCAGGCUUACGCUUGAAUACAUUAGCAUGGAAUAAUGAAAUAGGACAUCAGAUUCUAUUUUGUUGGUUUCUAGGAUCGAUGUAAUGAUUAAUAGGGAUAGUUGGGGGCAUUAGUAUUCAAUUGUCAGAGGUGAAAUUCUUGGAUUUAUUGAAGACUAACUACUGCGAAAGCAUUUGCCAAGGAUGUUUUCAUUAAUCAAGAACGAAAGUUAGGGGAUCGAAGACGAUCAGAUACCGUCGUAGUCUUAACCAUAAACUAUGCCGACUAGGGAUCGGAUGAUGUUAAUUUAUAAUGACUCAUUCGGA
rnacentral:misc_RNA from 1 species